rnacentral:lncRNA from 1 species
AACCAGAACAGAGAGGUCCCUGACAAUCGUAAGCCGCGAAAGUUGGUCGUGCCAUCCGGGCCUUCCAUGCUCCGUGCAGAGGUUCCUGUCAAUCGUAAGCGGCGAAAGUUGGUUGCGCCACCCGGGCCCUCCAUGCUCCGCGCAGAGAUAGCACUUAAUCAUAAGCCGCGAAAGUUGGUUGCACCCCCCGGGUUUUCCAUGCUCCGCGCAGAGGUUGCUUUAACCGUAAGCCACGAAAGUUGGUGGCACCCCCCGGGUCCUCCAUGCUCCGUGCAGGGUGUUCUUUCAAUCGUAAGCCGCGAAAGUUGGUUGCACC